rnacentral:rRNA from 1 species
UACGGGGGGAGCAAGCGUUGUUCGGAUUUACUGGGCGUAAAGGGCGCGUAGGCGGUCAGCACAAGUCAGUUGUGAAAUCUCCGGGCUUAACUCGGAAAGGUCAACUGAUACUGUGCGACUAGAGUGCAGAAGGGGCAACUGGAAUUCUCGGUGUAGCGGUGAAAUGCGUAGAUAUCGGCAGGAACACCCAGGGGGAAACCAGUCGACUGGGCAUCUACUGACGCUGAGGUGCGAGAGCGUGGGGAGCGAACCGG